AACAACCGGUGCGUCGGCGGAGGCGACACGGACACGGAACAUGGCUCAUCACGGAAAUAAAUAAACAAAUAAAUAAAUAAAUGAAUGAAUAACGGGGCCGGCGGAGGAUUCUUGGAGGCGGAGAAAACACGGCGCGAGGAGGAGAGGGAAGCGGAUAUUUGACGAGAGGAGCCGAAGUCAGUUCUGGUGCCGCACGCUCCAGUGUUGAUGUUCGUAUUUGGCCACGAAUACCUGCCGAAAAUAGUCCCGACUGAGGAUCCUCUGCCCUGUGUGACCCCCUGACACAGAGGAUGGUGAUGGAGGAGGGGGCUCAGAGAGAGCGAGGGAGGGGGGCUCCGGUGACAGCGGGAGCUGAGGGAAGGCGGAUCUUCAUGGAGCUCGGGGAGCAGAACCUCGAUGCCAUUUGUCUUUCUACGUAUCGGACCGCCUGCAAGCUCAGAUUCAUACAGAAGAGAUGCAACUUGCAUCUGAUCGACAUAUACCACGUCAUCGAGGCGGUGCGGGACGCCGGUCUGAACGCCGUGGAGCUCAACGCCGGCAUCUCGGUGACCAGACUGGAGAACCUGGUGUCGUCCCUGUUCAACCAGCUCAGCAAGCGGCUGCCCACCACGCACACCAUCGACCCGCUGCAGAGCACCGUCCUGCUGGUGGAGUUCAUCUUGGCCGCCGUCGAAAGUGAACCAGACAGUCGGCUGACGGUGCUGUCUGUGAAGGCGAUGCUGGCCGUUCUGUGUGGAGGGAAACUGGUGGAUAAACUCCGCUACAUGUUUUCUCAGGUAUCGGACUCCGGCGGCGUGCUGGUUCAGUCCAAGUUUGAUGCUUUUCUGAGGGAGGCUCUCAAGUUGCCCACCGCUCUACAUGAGGGACCGUCCUUCGGCUACACACACACGUCGGCGCGCUCGUGCUUCCCACAGCAGAAGAGGGUGAUGCUCAACAUGUUCCUGGACAUUGUAUCGGACCCUCCUCAGUGUCUCGUUUGGCUUCCUCUGCUACACCGCCUGGCCAACGUGGAGCAUGUCUAUCAUCCCGUGUCGUGCUCCUACUGCCGUGGCAACGGCAUGACGGGCUUCCGUUAUCGCUGCCUCCGUUGCCGUGGUUACCAGCUCUGUCAGAACUGCUUUUGGCGCGGUAACGCCAGCGGCUCGCACAGCAGCCAGCAUCAGAUGAAGGAGCAUUCGACCUGGAAGUCGCCAGCGACGAAGCUUGGUCGAGCCCUGAGCAGGACUCUGGGCUGCAUGUCCUCCAGAGAACCCCCCCACCCCUUUUAUCCAGAGGAACCUGAGCGGACACUCAACCUCGCCAACAUCGUCUCCUCUCGUCCAGUUGGAAACACCAGUGAGCCCAUGUUGCUGUCGUCAUCAUCAUCACCCGGGGCCACCAAGCGUUUGGCGGCGGCUCAGCGCAUGAACGAGGAACACGCUCUGAUCGCCGCGUAUGUGAAUCGCCUCCAGAGCAGCCCACGCGUGGACGGUCCGAGCAGACAAGACGAGGAGCACGAACUCAUCGCCCGCUACACGUCCCGACUGGCCGAGACCGACGGAUCAGGAGUGAUACCAAACCGGAGCAUCAACUUCGAUGUGAACAAACAGAAGAGGGAGCUCAUUGCUCAGCUGGAGUGCAAAAACAGGGAGAUCUUGGCUGAGAUAAAGCGUCUGCGCACAGAGCAUGAGGCAGCGUGCCAGCUCAGCCACCAGGGCAGCACCAACCCGAAUCUGCUGGCCGAGCUCCGCCUGCUCAGGCAGCGGAAAGACGAGCUGGAGCAGAGGAUGUCGUCUCUGCAGGAGAGCAGGAGGGAACUGAUGGUGCAGCUGGAGGGACUGAUGAAGCUGCUCAAGGACGAGGAACAACGACAGGCAGCGCAGGCCGCUGGCUCCUCUCACGCUUCCCCCUCUCGGCCGAGUCCGUCGUCCGUUCGCUCUGUCGGCGCCGCGUCUCCGCACGCGUACAUGUACCCUCCUCAGGACUCCCUCGCGGGGGUGGGCGGCGACGUGCGAGAGGCCUUCGCCCAAGGCCCGAGACGGAACCUGAGGAACGACCUUCUGGUGGCAGCCGACUCCAUCACCAACACUGUGUCCUCACUGGUCAAAGAGCUCCACUCGGAUGAUGGUCGGGAGGAAGAGGAGCGAUUGCUGAACGGGAAGGACAGAGCGAGCUUCAUUAACAUGCCGGCUCAUUAGCCGUGGCUUUAUGGAGCCCCUCCUCUUUUUACGAGAGGACCGCCUGCGGAGACGGAGCGGUGGAACUACUUCCUGACAGACAGACACACAGGAGGCCAGGGCUCAGCCUGCAUGACCAACACACAGGUUAAAAUGAUCGGAGGAAAAACAGAAGCAGCUGAGUGAUGUUCCGUCACGGCCAAAACCAGAGCGACGGCUGCAGGGAUUCAAGUGCAUCUUCGCAUAAUCACCUUUAGCCAGUUGGGGGAAUUAGCGCGCCACUGGCUAGAUCAACCAAUCACGAUGCUGGACACCAAAACGACCCCCCCACACGGGGUCCCCCUACUGAUGUAUAGCUGUGAUUCUGUGUGUGUGUCUUUGUCACCGUGGUUUCACUUUAGUGCUUGAUUUGAUCGUGAAACACGGAGACUGAUACCGUACCUACUGAUUUGUACUGUAGCAUGCGUGUGUGUGUGUGUGUGUGUGUGUGUGUGCGCGCCGUGCGUUGGCGAGUGGCGAGAGGGUCGAGGGAAGUGAGAGGGGCGUCGCGAAGAGACAGGAAGGUGCGAUAAGGAAAUUUGUGAAGGAUUACAAAAAAAAUGAAAAAGCAGGAAAGUUUGAGGAUCAGGACGGAGUUGAUGUAUGUGAGAAGAAAGUAAAAAAAAAAGACGAGAAGUGAGAUGUAACGUUUUUAACUUUUUUGGCACUGUGUGCUUCGUAUUUAUUUGCUUUUUGUUUGAUUUUUUUUGGCAUUUAUUCAUUCGGUUUGAGCGUUUCUGCGUGGUCAGGCCCUGCUGUAAGCUUUAAUGUGUCCUGCUGCAUCACCCUGACCGCCCGCCCUGGGACUACGGUUUAUUUAAGAGGGGAUAUCUGAUUACUGUGUGUGUGUGUGUGUGUGUGUGUGUGUGUGUGUGUGUGUGUGUGUGUGUGUGUGUGUGUGUGUGUGUGUGUGUGUGUGUGUGUGUGUGUGUGUGUGUGUGUGUGUGUGUGUGUGUGUGUGUGUGUGUGUGUGUGUGUGUGUGUGUGUGUGAGAGAGAGACAGGGUAACUGCAGCAUCGGAGUAGUAAAGUGGGUGGAGAAGUGGGCUUCGUAAAAUCUUCAUCCCCAUUUUUAAAAGUUUUCAUCUAAAGGAUCAGUUCGUACAAAAUCCCCUCUCACUUAUCUCGGGUGCAGCGUUUCCCAAACGGGCGCUCCCUUGAUAACUCAUGAGGUCAAAGAAAAAAACAAUGGGAAAAAAAGAAAAAUUCUUCAGAAAACUAGAAGGGCACUCAGUAGAGCACUUACCUCCGCCCAGCACAUGUGGCUGAGUUGUCCUUAUAGGAGGAAUAGAAAAGAAAAAAGGAAGUGGUCUCAUUUUAAUCAGUAAAUAUAAAAUAUAAAUGUAAAUAUAAAUGAGGCCCGGUCCCAAGUUUUUCCACCAAACUUGGUGAAGUUUUGGCAAAUUGAAAUCCUGCGUACAAACGAACCAACAGACACGGAUGAAAACAUAGACAUGGUCUAGAUAUCGCUCACAACUAAAUUUUUUUUAGAAGAUCAAGAAAUUAUGUAAACAUUUACAAUUGUUCUCUUACAAUAAGUAAAUGAAAAUAAUCGGACGUCAGAGCUCUAGGAAAGUCAAAACGCUUUAUUGCUGUGAUCAGAAACAAAACUCAGCGCUGUAGUUGAUCAUUUCCCAAAAAUUUGCAUUUUUGAAAUUGUAAAUGUUUUAAAAAAACUUAAAUUUUCACCAAAAAAAUGCAUUUUUUUCAAAAUUGUUUAUUUUUCAUUUUCAAUUUUUUUUUCAAAAAUUUGAAUUUUUCAAUCAAAUUUGUAUUUUUUGCUUUUUUUCAAAUUUUUCCAAUAUCUGCUUUUUUCACAUUUUUUUCAAAACUUUACCCGGAAUCGGAAUCUAUGUUUCAUCACAUUUCCUCAUAUUUUGAACCCAGAAUUUCCAUUUCCUCAGACCACCUAAAAAAACGCCACCUGCUCAAACUAAACUCCCCACACUUUGCUGCUCUGUGCUGCCUUCAAAUCCUCCUGUACAUCUGAUUAUGGAAGUUGAAGUUCUCCAUGAUUACAGAUUAUCUUCAUGCAAAUCCAACAUGACCCCAAGUGACUCACCGGGCUUGUGUCACAUCAGGUUGAUUAUAUUUUCAUGUUACAGCUGUGAGAUAUAUAUAUAUUUUUUAAAUCAACGGUGGUCUCAACAGUUUUUAGCUUUCACGUUUUGAUUUUUGCCAUUAGGAAUUAUUCUGUAAUGUACAUUUCUAGAUCCGUUUCCAAGUUGAGCAGUUUUUAUUAUAUUUCUCCAGCCCUUCACUUUGUUUGACUGACUGAGUCUGAGAUGAUCAAAUUUUGAGUCCGCUGAGUGAUUGACUGACUGUGGGAGUGAUUUACUAAAAGAAUGGGCGCAUGUGUCGACGCGCGCGCGCGUGUGUGUGUGUGUGUGUGUGAAUGUGUGUGUGUGAGUGUGAAAGAGACAGCGAGAGAAAAUCCAGACUGACAAGGACGGACUCGUCCAGACAUGAAACUGUAAACACGUUCAGCUCUGAAGCUGAGUGAAAACGUGCGGAUCAUCUGCAAUAAAUAAUAUUUAACGAACAAA